GACGAACGCUGGCGGCGUGCUUAAUACAUGCCAGUCGAACGGAAAGGCCCUGCUUUUGUGGGGUGCUCGAGUGGCGAACGGGUGAGUAACACGUGAGUAACCUGCCCUUGACUUUGGGAUAACUUCAGGAAACUGGGGCUAAUAUCGGAUAGGAGCUCCUGCUGCAUGGUGGGGGUUGGAAAGUUUCGGCGGUUGGGGAUGGACUCGCGGCUUAUCAGCUUGUUGGUGGGGUAGUGGCUUACCAAGGCUUUGACGGGUAGCCGGCCUGAGAGGGUGACCGGCGACAUUGGGACUGAGAGACGGCCCAGACUCCUACGGGAGGCAGCAGUGGGGAAUAUUGCACAAUGGGCGGAAGCCUGAUGCAGCAACGCCGCGUGCGGGAUGACGGCCUUCGAGUUGUAAACCGCUUUCGCCUGUGACGAAGCGUGAGUGACGGUAAUGGGUAAAGAAGCACCGGCUAACUACGUG
rnacentral:rRNA from 1 species